rnacentral:rRNA from 1 species
AUGGCGUCGACGACGGCGUACGCGCGGCCGUCCAAGCUGCCGGGCGCGGGCCCGGGGGAGCGGAGGCCGGCGCCGCCGCGGCUCAUCCGGGCCUUCCUCGCCUCCGGCGCCAAGAUCGAGCCCCGGAAGCUCGCCGCCGGCCUGCUCGCCGGCUGCUGCCUCGCGCUCCUCACCUACGUCUCCCUCGCCAAGCUCUACGCCGUCUACUCCCCGGUCUUCGUUACUGCUGCUCUGCUGCUGCCGGUUCCGCCGCCAGCCACCACCUCGGCCCUGCUCCAGAACGCUCCGCCGUCGUCCUCCUCGUCGGCGCCCGAAGAACCCGCAUUUACUGGCGGCAGGAACGGCAGCGCCGUGGAUCGCGUCGAUCUGACGGAGAAGGGCCCGGCGACUGCCGGCUCUCGAGAGCCCGGGGUGCCGGAGGCGGUCUCCAGAAAGGAGCACGCCGAGAAGGCGCCGGCGCCGGCCAACACCUCGGCACCAAUGCCAUCUCAGGGAGAAAGGAAGAGCAACAGCAGCAGCAAUGUCGCCGCCGGUCCGAUGAGCUGCGACGAAAAUGGCGUGGACGAGGGGUUCCCCUACGCGCGGCCGGCGGUCUGCAAGCUGUCUGGCGACAUCCGCGUCAGCCCCAGCCAGAAGACAAUGUACCUCGUCAACCCGUCCGGCGGCGGCGGCUUCGACGAGAAGGGCGAGAAGCGGCUCCGGCCCUACGCCCGGAACGACGACUUCCUCCUGCCCGCCGUGGUGGAGGUGACUGUCAAGUCUGUCGCCUCCCCUGAGGCCGCGCCACAGUGCACGAAGCAGCAUCGCGUCCCCGCGGUGGUGUUCUCCGUCGCCGGGUACACGGACAACUUCUUCCACGACAACACGGACGUGCUGAUCCCCUUGUUCCUCACCACGGCGCACCUGAAAGGCGAGGACGAGGUGGCCGCCGCGGCGUCGGAGAUCGGGUUCAACGUGACCGUGGCGGAGGCUGGCGACGACGUGCCGGCGUUCGCGGCCCUGGUGAACUCCGCCGACGUGCUUCUGGCCGUGCACGGCGCCGGGCUGACCAACCAGAUCUUCCUGCCGACGAACGGGGUGGUGCUGCAGAUUGUGCCGUGGGGGAACAUGGACUGGAUGGCGACCAACUUCUAUGGGCAGCCGGCGCGGGACAUGCAGCUCCGGUACGUGGAGUACUACAUCGACGAGGAGGAGACGAGCCUCAAGGACAAGUACCCAAGGGAUCACAUGGUGUUCAAGGACCCCAAGGCCCUCCACAAGCAGGGGUGGCAGGCGCUCGCCGACACCAUCAUGAAGCAGGACGUCAAGGUGAACAUCACCAGGUUCCAGCCCUUCUUGCUCCAGGCCAUGGACGAACUUCAGGAGUAG